AGUUGCAAGAAACAAGACCAUUAGGCCAUGUCCUCAGAUGGGUUAUUCAGGGUUAUUUCAGGCCACUUUGGAAAUUCACCCAGGAUGUUUCAGUUGGUGCAGAUUUCAGAUACAUCAUUGCUUCAGAUUGCUUGUCUUGUUGACAAGAUUUUUCCAAAUUCUUCUUGGAUUCUAAAGAACCAAAGUAAGUGUGAGUGGGGGGCAUAAAAUCUGUUAUUUCCUACUAAGUUAGACAAUUUGCUUUCACUUUUUCAGAUUAGGUUCAGACACAUUUCCUUAAUGUGUCAGGAAAGCUGGGCUUACCUCCUGGCUCUUGUUUCACCUCUGAGUGAAGUAUUUUUGGGUCUGUUUUCCCUAGGUCUGUUCCUGGAUUCUUUUUUGGAUCAAAACCAAACUUUGGGUUCUCUUUUGUUUGUGCCAACCACAAGCUUUUAAUAAUCUCCCUCUUCUCUAGCACUUCUCUUUUUCAUACACCCAAGACAUCUAUUGAUGGGAUUCAUGAAACUGUUUUUCUGUACUCUCUUUCUUUAUUAUGAUGUAUUUCUUACCAUUUUCAAAGAUCUCUUUUGAAAUCUUAAUCUUUUUUGGUGACUUAUAUAUAUAUCUUGAAUAUAUAUUAUAUAUAUAACUUGAUAUUAUAUUAAUGGACAUAUGCUGCUGAGCCACAAACCAAAUACAGUGUCUAGAUACAGAGUUCCUAAAGAAAGCUGAGGAAUUAAAGAGGAUUGUCAUCUCUUGUCUACCUGGGUGGUAGGUGGUGAAGUAGAGAAUGAUGAAGAAAACUAAAUCCAGUUUGUUGGAUCAGGAAGUUAAUUAGAUCAAAGUAUUUCAUCUUCAUUGCAGUCCUAUAAUUUGUUUUUUUUUUACCAUAGAUAAGGAAACUGAGGUGCAAGAUGUUGAAAGCCUUCCUUGGAUCUCCUGGUUAGGAACUAACUACCCUACUACAUCAACCCAAACAGCUAUUUAAAAACAUUUGCAAUA
rnacentral:lncRNA from 1 species